CACCGUUUAUGAUGAUUGUUUUAAUAAAACAAUGGGAAUCUCUCUGAAUUAGACUGAACGAGACCUCUUUAUACUGAAACAGUG